CAGUAGCCGCGGUAACACGUAGGGUGCAAGCGUUAAUCGGAAUUACUGGGCGUAAAGCGCACGUAGGCGGAUAUUUAAGUCAGGGGUGAAAUCCCGCAGCUCAACUGCGGAACUGCCUUUGAUACUGGGUAUCUUGAGUAUGGAAGAGGUUAGUGGAAUUGCGAGUGUAGAGGUGAAAUUCGUAGAUAUUCGCAGGAACACCAGUGGCGAAGGCGGCUAACUGGUCCAUAACUGACGCUGAGGUGCGAAAGCGUGGGGAGCAAACAGGAUUAGAUACCCCCGUAGUCCCUGUCUCUUAUAC
rnacentral:rRNA from 1 species